AGCAAUACACAGGGCCGAGUGCAUUUUUCGGAUAUCUUUCACGUGGAUAGACAGUGCCAAGAAAGUUCCACAACAGAGGUUGGUCAUCUAUGAGUAGGAAUUGGUGAAACAUUCGAGCAGGAUAUCAAUGGAUGCCCAGUGAAAGACAGGAAAAAUGAGCUGAAAUUUGAUUACUGAAUCAAAUCUUCCAUGUAAAGUGACAUUCUGAAUAUAUGGAGCUGAAAUUUGGUUAUUGUCUCGAAUCCUCCGAGUAGAGGGACAUUCAGAAGAGAUGGAGCUGACGUUUGGAUACUGACUCUUCCUUGUACAGCGACAUUCAGAAGAGAUGGAGCUGACGUUUGGAUACUGACUCUUCCUUGUACAGCGACAUUCAGAAGAGAUGGAGCUGACGUUUGGAUACUGACUCUUCCUUGAACAGCGACAUUCAGAAGAGAUGGAGUUGACGUUUGGAUACUGACUCCUCCCUGUAGAGCGACAUUCAGAGCAGAUGGAACUGAAAUUCGGAAGUAGUCUUUUGCUUGCUGACUCAAAAUUUUCAAGCAAAGUGGCAUUCAGAAGACUUAAAGCAGAAGUUGGACUACAGACUUUUCUUUAUUAGCAUUUGUUUACUGACUCGAAUCCUCCGAACAAAGCUACAUUCACUGUUUUGUUCGUUCGGCUCGAGUUAGGAAACAGACAAUAUCAACCACGCAGAAUAAAUAUCGGAAAAUAAAGACUGCUAAUUUGAAAACUGGUGAAGAAAAAAAAAAUGACGACAAUUUCAGAACAAGAGUCAACGAAAUUAGCCAUUUUGAAGAAUGAAGAAGCCUGUUGGUGUGACGACGCUAGGUUGUAUCUGUGACGUGCAAGUACCCUCACACUUGGUGACGCCAAUUGUUCCUUCACACGAGCGAACGACGUUGCCCAAAUCAUCGUAUUCUUCCUUCA